ACCCGCUGAAUUUAAGCAUAUCAUUAAGCGGAGGAAAAGAAACUAACCAGGAUUCCCCUAGUAACGGCGAGUGAAGAGGGAAAAGCCCAGCACCGAAGCCUGCAGCAGAUUUGUUGUUAGGCAAUGUGGUGUUUAGAUCGGCUCGUGGGACCGCCACUCCAUUCGAAGUCCAGCAUUGAGUAUGGUACCCUGGAUUUGGCCCAGAGAGGGUGAAAGGCCCGUGCGAAUGGAUGUUUCAGACAUGUUAGGUGGUUCAUCAGGUCGAUCUUCGAGUCGGGUUGUUUGAGAAUGCAGCCCUAAGUGGGUGGUAAACUCCAUCCAAGGCUAAAUACUGGCACGAGUCCGAUAGCGAACAAGUACCGUGAGGGAAAGUUGAAAAGUACUCUGAAGAGAGAGUAAACAGUACGUGAAACCGUAUAGAGGUAAACGGGUGGCGUCAAGCUGCAAGCCCAGAGGAUUCAGUUGGUCACUGUGUGCGUACGUCUUGUGUAUAUCAGUCGGUAAUAGAACGGGCAGUCCACUGGAUAACGGUGGGUUCGGUCGUAAGGCCGGAUGUAUGUUCCACCUCGGUUGGUGGUGUACGCUGUUCGGCUAUUGGACUGGGUGGCCAAUGCACUUCCUCUGAUAUGGUGAACACCACGACCGGUGGAACUGCCAGUCUGGUAUAGCCAAGUUGUAUCUGGUUUGGCACUCGUGUCAGCUGGGUGCAAUCACAGGCAAAUUCGGUGGACGGUGGGCUUGCCCAUGUUAUCGGUCACUGGUUGUCAACGGGUGUGUCUGUCGGCGGUUGUGAUACUCGGCAGAUGACCUGGUGGGCUAUGCUGGUAAGAAUAACUGUGCAGGGCACCGGAAUUAGCGGUCUCGAAUCCGGUCGGCAUGCACUUCACAAGUGUCAAAUGGAGGUGUCAUUGCGGCCUGUCGGUUGCUGGGUCUGAUCGUCGUGUCGCCUGCGCAAAGUGGGUCCGGCGGUGGCCUGGUGCCGGUCGGUGUCGUUAGUGGCGCUUUCGUGUGUCGGCUGGUGUGGAUCGAAUAGUCUGUGGUGUGGUGGUAGACGAGCUACCCGACCCGUCUUGAAACACGGACCAAGGAGUUUAACAUGCACGCGAGUCAUUGGGCUGAACGAAACCCAAAGGCGCAAUGAAAGUGAAGCCUGGACUUGUUCUCUGGGUGUGGUGAGAUCCUGCUGUUUCUCGCAUCUGCACUUGUGUAUUGUGUCAGCACAAGGCAAAGAGCGGUAGGCGCAUCACCGGCCCGUCCCAUGAUGUGGUCAUUGGUUGGUUGUGGCUAUGGUUUACUGUGGUCAUGGCUCCAGUGCGUCAUCGGGGCGGAGCAUGAGCGUGCAUGUUGAGACCCGAAAGAUGGUGAACUAUGCUUGCGUAGGUUGAAGCCAGAGGAAACUCUGGUGGAGGACCGCAGCGAUUCUGACGUGCAAAUCGAUCGUCAAACGUGAGUAUAGGGGCGAAAGACUAAUCGAACCAUCUAGUAGCUGGUUCCCUCCGAAGUUUCCUC
rnacentral:rRNA from 1 species